AAGAGGGUGUCCUGGAAGUGAAGUGAAGUGAACAGAGACCUGAGACAGAGAGUCUGCUGGAGCAAGUCAGAGCUGGAGGUUGCAACAGAAGGGAGGGAGUCUGGAGGUCUGCUAGAGUGGAUCCAGUGAAUCCAUGCAAAGAAUCAAAAAUUCAGAAAUGAUAAUCAUGAUGGAAUUGCUACAGCAUUUGAUGAACAAGCACAGCACUCUUAGGAUUUGAUGCUGGAAAUGUAGCUGCAGAACAUCUUCAGGUAUUCAGCACAGGGGCACAGUUUUGAAGUCCACCAAGCAUGCUCCUCCUGCAAUAUGGUGGCAACCCUCUGACUCCUCUUGCUUCCCAGUUGCUUCAGAUUUCUCCAUCAUCACGUGACAGGAUGUUUGAAAAUACACGCACCACCAUCAAGGAGCAAACUAACAUAUGAAAGAUAUGAAAGAGUUGAGAAUCUUGUUUCAGUUCAUUCAAACCUUUCAUUUUCUGCAGCUCAGAGUAAAAGUUAAGAAACAUAAGCUACAGAUUGUUCAGUACACUUAUUCUGAUUAAAGAAAUAAACUUACACUAGUAUUUCAAUGAUAUAUUGUUUACGGGGGUGAAGUGAGGUAAAAUAAAACUGAUGAAUAAGGCUUUGGGAUAGUGAAUUCUGUACACAAUUACUAUGACAUUUCCUGUGCAUGAUGAUAAUGUAUUAUAGGAGCUCCGUAUUUUUCUUCCUUAUUCUUGCUUUUUAAAUUACAUUAUAGGGAUUCUAUGUUCUGAGCUUUUACUAAAAAUAAAUAAAUUCCUGUAUGAUAAUG